rnacentral:rRNA from 1 species
CCUAAGGAAGGGGAUAACCCCGGGAAACUGGGGAUAAUACCCUAUAGGUUACAGAUGCUGGAAUGCUUUGUAACCCAAAGUUCCGACGCCUUAGGAUGGAUCUGCGGCCGAUUAGGUUGUUGUUGGGGUAACGGCCCAACAAGCCAGUAAUCGGUACGGGUUGUGGGAGCAAGAGCCCGGAGUUGGAUUCUGAGACACGAAUCCAGGCCCUACGGGGCGCAGCAGGCGCGAAAACUUUACAAUGCGGGCAACCGUGAUAAGGGAACCUCGAGUGCCUGUAUAUGCAGGCUGUCCAGGUGUCUAAAACACACCUGAAGAAAGGGCCGGGCAAGACCGGUGCCAGCCGCCGCGGUAAUACCGGCGGCUCGAGUGGUGGCCACUUUUAUUGGGCUUAAAGCGUUCGUAGCUGGGUUGUUAAGUCUCUUGGGAAAUCCGGCAGCUUAACUGUCGGGCGUCUAAGAGAUACUGGCAAUCUUGGAACCGGGAGAGGUGAGGGGUACUUCGGGGGUAGGAGUGAAAUCCUGUAAUCCUCGAGGGACCACCUGUGGCGAAGGCGCCUCACCAGAACGGCUUCGACAGUGAGGGACGAAAGCUGGGGGAGCAAACCGGAUUAGAUACCCGGGUAGUCCCAGCCGUAAACGAUGCGCGUUAGGUGUAUCGGUGACCACGAGUCACCGAGGUGCCGAAGGGAAACCGUGAAACGUGCCGCCUGGGAAGUACGGUCGCAAGGCUGAAACUUAAAGGAAUUGG